UCUACUUGACCAAAUAGCUCAGUUGGUAGAGCAUGAGGCUCUUAAUCUCAGGGUCGUGGGUUCAAGCCCCACAUAUGCAGGCAAAA